rnacentral:lncRNA from 1 species
AAUGGAUACGUUAAGAGAGUGAAGAAACUUGGCUCCAAAUUGGACAAGUUUCUGCAAGAACUGGUCGACGAGCACAGAAGAAACAGGGGAAAAACAGAGUUCAAGAACACAAUGAUCACUCAUUUGCUUACCCUUCAAGAAUCGCAACCUGAGUACUACACUGACCAGAUCAUCAAAGGACUCGUAAUGGUUCGUUAAUUCUUUUACAUUAUUUCCUUGUUUUCAACACGUUAUUAGAAAGAAAAAAAUCAAGAUUGAAUCGUUUUCGUUAUAUGUAGGUGAUGAUGGAUGCGGGGACCGACACGACCGCACUGACAUUGGAAUGGGCCAUGGCUAACCUUCUAAAUCAUCCAGAUGUUCUAGCGAAAGCCAAGACGGAGUUAAACAACGUCGUUUCAAAAAGAGGGCGCUUGAUGGAGGAAUCUGAUACGAGCACUUGCACAUAUCUCAACAAUGUGAUUUCAGAGACUCUUCGUCUCUAUCCUGCUGGGCCAAUGCUGGUCCCACACGCGUCGUCGGUUGACUGCAAAGUUGCUGGGUAUGAGAUUCCACGUGGCACAUGGCUGUUCGUUAACGCGUGGGCUAUUCAGAGAGAUCCAAAAGUAUGGGAUGAGCCUGAGGCCUUUAAGCCGGAAAGGUUCGACAGUGAGGAGUGGAAGACCACCCAACAUGGUAAUUUUUUACCAUUCGGAAUAGGUAGAAGAGCGUGUCCUGGAAUGGGGCUGGCACAAAUUGUUUUGAGCUCAGCUUUAGGGUCAUUGAUCCAAUGUUUUGACUGGGAGAGAGAUGAAGACGUGGCAGUUGACAUGUCGGAAGGAACGGGUCUUAGUAUGCCUAAAGCUGUGCCUUUAGUUGCAAAAUGCAAGUCUUCUCCUAUCCUAGACAACGUUGUCAUUUAGUUUCAUGUAUUUUAUCAGCUUUAAUUAACGUUGCUAAUAAGAACAUAAUGAUUUCCUCGUUCUUGAUUUCUUUAGAUCUUUUCUCUGUCCCUCUCUUUCGUCUUUGUUUCCCUCAGCAUCUCCUACACUCAUUUACAUCCUUUGAGAUCAGAUCCAACGGUUGAAAGAAUGAUAAAUCCUCAUCAAUUUCCACUUCUCCCUGUGAACAAAAAACAACACAGCUUAGUCUAACCAGACCAAAACACCGUGUAGGAAUAUACAAGAGAUAUGAAAAAAGUAACUAUACAGGUGCAGUGCAUCAAGCAUAUUCUGAAAGGCUUUCUACCUUAAGCCCUCAAAAUAUAAUAAUACAAUUUUCACGGUCUCUAUUUUCUAAAAAUAGUUAGUAACAUAGUGUUUUUGUUUACUGUUUUAUUCAUUUAACCCAAAUUCAAUCCUCUAAAUUGAGUGUAGAUAUAUCUUUUUUAAAAGGAUUAUUUUAUUUUAUUGUCAAUUUUCCAAAUGUUAAUAGAAAAAUGUUUCGUACUAGGUGUCUUGUCCGCGUACGUGGAUCACAUAAUCAAUUUAUAAAUAUUUACUAAUGCAAAGGAAAUAUGAAAUUGCAUCCAUCUCAUCCUAAAUGCCUAAAACAUUAGACCUGAAAAUCAUAGAGAUAAAAAGCAAAAAACAAAAACUAUUAUAUUGAUAUAUCUUAGCAACUGCUGUUUAUUUUCUUUUCAGUUACAUGCAAGACUAGGUGAUUUUUCCGUGCUCAUGCACGGGUAUAAAUAUUUCUAAAGUAAAUAUACUACAAUAAUUGAUUGCUAUUUACUUUUAAUUUUAAAUUUAUUUAUAAUUUGUAUGCAUCAUUUAUAUUAAUAAUAUUAUAUUACUUUGAUUAUACAUAUGAUUUAUAUAUGUUAUAUCUAAUCGGUUUUGUUGUUUUUACAACCGAUUUAGUUAUCACUUGGAUAAAUUGGAUUGCAUCUUUGAAUUCAAUAAUAAUAUUUUUUAUUCUAAAUCUAUUACAAUUUUGAUUAAUUUAGGUGGUUGUUGUCAUAGAUAUGCAAAUAUAUUUUACGAAAAUUAUGUAUAACUUAAGAUAUAUUAUGCUUAGAAUGAAGUAAAAAAUAAACUAAAGUGUCUGAUUCCAAACUACAUAAAUUAAUAUAACGAUAAUAUUCUGAAGUCUCAUGCAUAUAUAUAAAUUUUACAAAAGAACUAAAUUGUAACGGUUGGUUAAUAUUUUAUUUUUAUUUUUAAUAUAUUUGAGUUGUCCUAUGAUUUAUAUUUAUAAAAUAAUUUACUGUUCUUAUAAAAUUAUAUAUUCUUAUCGUAGUUAAAUCUAUGAUUUUAGAUAUAAGUUGCAUUAGCUAGCGUUUGCGGUUGCGGGAGGACAAUUUUUUUUUUAAACCAUAUAAAUACAAAAAUAAAAAUAUUCAAUCAGUCAUAAGUAUACCGCAAACGUACAAAUUUCUAACCGCAUAACCAGUCGUACAAAUUUCUUAAAACCGCUAGAAACCGCAACCAUCCGCAUCCGCAAACACCCGCAGCCGCAACCGCAACCGCUGCGUUUGAACCAGUCAGGCCUUAAUAAGGUGAAAAUUCAAAAGCAAUGGAGCAUUGGGUGAAAAUUGAUUUGUUUUUCACUGCGACUAAUGGCUUCGAUGAUCAUACGAAUUAAAAAAAAUACUUCGGUAAUUUAGGACUAGGGGCAUCUGUGGGAUUAUGAAAUGUCCAACAGUGGUUUCCUAUAUACCUAAUUAAAUUUAGUUUUAUAGGUGUGUAGUGCAAAUUCCAUUUUUUUAAUUGACCGAUCCCUGUGCUACAAAAAACAAUUAAUAUAAAAAAUAUAAGAAACGUGGUGCACAGCCUGGCUUAUGCAAAACACAACGUGGGCUGCUCACGUUCUACAUCUUUUGACUUUGGACUCCAUAAAAGCUCCAGGUAGAUGUGAACACAAAGCUACAAAAUCAGAAAAAAGCGACAAGAUGUUUACUUUGCUUUCGUUCGCUCUGGUCGUCGGAUUCAUUGCAGCGGCUUUUUAUCUUUUUCGAUCAAAGCUGAAUGUUCCACCAAGUCCGAUAGGUUUCCCGGUGAUCGGACACCUCCACCUGCUCAAAGAUCCAGUUCACCGUUGCCUGCAUGACCUCUCUCGAAACCUCGGUCCAGUGUUUUCGCUCAAGCUAGGCUCUUGUCGAGCCGUGGUCGUCACGUCAGCUUCCGCAGCGGAGGAGUUUUUAUCUCACGAAAAUGAUGUUGUUUUCGCAAACAGGCCUAUCAGUACUUUGGGUAAAUACGUUGCUUACAACAACUCUAUAGUCAGCGUAUCUCCCUACGGAGACCACUGGCGAAACCUCCGCCGUAUCUGCACCGUGGAGAUCUUCUCCGCCGCUCGUCUCAAAGAAUCGCUCGAGAUCCGGAGAGACGAAGUGAGGUCUCUCGUUCAGACGAUCCACAAGGCGACGACAUCAGGAGGAGGAGACAACUCUGUCCGUGUGGAGCUACGACCGUUGCUCUCUGGGUUUACUUUGAACGUCCUUAUGAGAACGGUCGCUGGUAAACGAUACUACGGCGAAGAUAACGCGGAAGCUAAGGAAGUGCGGGAGCUGAUCAGCGAAACGUUCGAGCUCGCAGGGUUUACUUAUGCCGGUGACUUUCUUCCGAUUCUGAAGCUGUUCGAUUACAAUGGAUACGUUACGAGAGUGAAGACACUUGGCUCCAAAUUGGACAAGUUUCUGCAAGAACUGGUGGACGAGCACAGAGGAAACAGAGGAAAAACAGAGUUCAAGAACACAGUGAUCACUCAUUUGCUUACUCUUCAAGACUCGCAACCUGAGUACUACACUGACGAGAUCAUCAAAGGACUCGUAAUGGUAAGUUAAUUACUAUAUAUUUCUUUGGUUUCAACUCAAAAAAUAAAUCAUUUCAUUAUACUCAGGUGAUGAUAGUUGCCGGGACCGACAC